GGAAAAGGGAGAUGGGAGCAUCAUCCCUGCGUCCACCCGAGCGCCGUGGGGCGGCCGCCCGCGGGCACAGCGCUGCCCGCCCCGGCCCCAAAGUUGGGACCGUCCCCGCGUCCAAUGGAGCCGGUGGUGGGGAUGGACGGUGCGACCGAAAGCAACGAGGGGUCUCUUUAAAAUUCCCAUCCACUUCAGAUGUCUAAAGUAAGAUUGUGAUGAUUUUGUCACGGUUUGGUAAAUUUACCCCUUUAAGAGGCUUUCAUAAAUCCCAGAACACACCUUCAGCCAGAUUUGAAUAUAGAUUUAGGUUUUAAAACCCAGAAGCUGGGAACACCGCUUUAUCAAAGAGAAUUUCCCUUUAGCUUAGCCAUGUGUCGGAAUGGCUCUCGCAAAGAUCGGAUCGGAGAGGGGGGAAAAAAAAGAGCGAAACCUUCAUCCCGGAGCGAUCCUGCACACACUUUGCAGCCGCAUUUCGCCUUCAGCCUUAGGAAAAGUUGCCCUCCUCCCCCCCAAAUAACAAACCCAAACAAGUGACAGCUGUAGGAACUGUUGGUUUUAUUUUUUUUAAUUAUUAUUUUAUUUUUUUUAAUUAACUAUUUUUGAGAGGGGAAAAAGAAAAUAAACCAAGCAAACAAACAAAACAACCAAAGCGACCAAACCCCUUUCCGACCUCCUGCGCUCCGUUCGGAUAGCAGCUCCGGGCAGGUAUACAGAGCCGCACUAACUCGGGCUCAACGGGGAGCGACUUUUGUGCUCAGAGAACCCCCAGAUCAGCUCCCGGGAUGGAAAGGAACUGUAACUUCUGCUGCUCAGGUCUGUGGGAAGCUGGUCCCUCUUUGAAUAUCUGGACUGGUGUGCACCUGCAUUCGUUGGAAGAGGAACCCCAUGUGGAAAACCAAGGCCAGAGCUAAUGGCAGGACUCAACUCCUCUUCAUCCCUGAUGUGCUGGCCCAGCUCCAAGAUGAUGCUAAGGUAGCAGCUCAUACAACUCUUCUGGCUUUGGAAGGGAGCUUGGGGCUCCCCAGAUCCUUCUUCUUAAUGGGUUGGCCCCAGUCUCAUCACUUACAUGGAGGUUUGCUUUCAGUCCAGGUCCGUCAGAGGAACGCAUCCAGUCCCACCAGGAGAUGCAAUGAGGAUUGGCCUCCUGAGAGGAGCGGGC
rnacentral:lncRNA from 1 species